rnacentral:rRNA from 1 species
AUAACGGUCCUAAGGUAGCGAAAUUCCUUGUCAGGUAAGUUCUGACCCGCACGAAUGGCGUAAUGAUUUGGGCACUGUCUCGACAGCCCGCCCGGCGAAAUUGUAGUACUGGUGAAGAUGCCAGUUACCCGCAACUAGACGGAAAGACCCCAUGGAGCUUUACUGCAGUUUAAUACUGGGAAUCGGUAAUUCAUGUACAGGAUAGGUGGGAGACUGGGAAGCAUGGCCGUCAGGUCGUGUGGAGUCACCGGUGGGAUACCACUCUUGGAUUGCUGGUUUCCUAACCUGCGGCCCUGAAUCGGGUCGGGGGACACUGUUAGACGGGCAGUUUGACUGGGGCGGUCGCCUCCAAAAGAGUAACGGAGGCGCUCAAAGGUUCGUUCAGCACGGACGGAAAUCGUGCAUUGAGUGUAAACGCAUAAACGAGCCUAACUGCGAGACCGACGGGUCGAGCAGUAACGAAAGUUGGAGUUAGUGAUCCGGUGGUAUGUGAGUGGAAAUGCCAUCGCUCAACGGAUAAAAGCUACCCUGGGGAUAACAGGCUGAUCUCCCCCAAGCGUCCACAGCGACGGGGAGGUUUGGCACCUCGAUGUCGGCUCGUCGCAUCCUGGGGCUGAAUUCGGUCCCAAGGGUUUGGCUGUUCGCCAAUUAAAGCGGCACGCGAGCUGGGUUCAGAACGUCGUGAGACAGUUCGGUCCCUAUCUGUUGCGGGCGUAGGAGAUUUGAAGGGAGCUGACCUUAGUACGAGAGGACCGGGUUGGACGUACCUCUGGUGUACCAGUUGUUCUGCCAAGGGCAUGGCUGGGUAGCUACGUACGGACGAGAUAAACGCUGAAGGCAUCUAAGCGUGAAACUCUCCCUGAGAUAAGAUCUCCACUGAGGCUCGACGUAGACUAUGUCGUUGAUAGGUCAGAGGUGUAAGUGCUGAGAGGCAUUGAGCUGACUGAUACUAAUAAGCCGAAAGCUUGACCAA